rnacentral:tRNA from 1 species
AUGAGUUUGUUGUAACGGUAGCCUGCCGGUCUCCAAAACCGUGCGGUGGGGGUUCGAAUCCUCCAACUCAUGCCA